GACCGCGUAGCUCAGUUGGCAGAGCAUUGAGCUAUAGUAUUCCAAAGGUCGUGGAGUUCGAUUCUCACCGUGGCCA